UUUUAAUCUGUAUAUAGAUUAAUAAAACAAUGAAGGUCCGAGGUCGAGGCAGCACAAAUACUGAAAACCCUCCAUCCCCUCUUCAUGUCAGCCGUCCAAGACAUCUUGCUCAAAUGAAUGUUCCACCAAGCUCUAUUACAUACAAACUACUACAAUAAAAAUACAAUAAAAUAAUUUUGAUUAGAGCAGAAUAUAAUUCAAUAAUUCAUUCUUUCAGAAAAAAACUAUAUACAUACAUAUAUAUGUACCACAGUAUACACUCGUUUCUUCUUCUUCUUUGUCCCUCUACUUUUGGUUAAGCAGUGCAGGUGUAUUGAGGGUGAUUCUCUCUCAUAGUUUCAAGACUUGUGUGUGUGUGUGAGAGAGAGAGAGAGAGAGAAAUGAAU
rnacentral:lncRNA from 1 species